rnacentral:lncRNA from 14 species
AUGCAAGACUCUACACUUGCCCUUGUUGAAUUUCAUCAAGUUUCUCCCUGCCCAACUCUCCAGCCUGUCCAGGUCUCACUGAAUGGCAACACAGCCUUCUGGUGUGUCAGCCACUCCUUCCAAUUUAGUAUCACCACCCAUUUGCUGCUGGCAUUUCCAUCAUUCUAUUUCCCAUCUCUCAGUUUUCCAUUUAGUUCUACACUCUCAGAAAAGCGCUUUCCCUGGAGUCCACUAAAGUUACUUUUUCUGAAGGAAUUACAUCCUUUAAAAGAAGAGAACCAAACAAAAACAUCUAGUAAAACUGGGACUUCUUAUCUGACCUCCUGUGACAUCUAAAGCCACAGAUGUGCUCAGAAUCUGGCAUGCCUUUUCCUGUGCCCUGCUCCCGAGAGAGCCUGCUCCAAACCCACUCAAGCCAACAGCAUAAGCAGAAAUAGCAUAUGCCAUUCAGUAUAACCAGCUGGGAACUUCACCUCCUACAUCCUUCUCUAGAAGCUAUGUUUAAGGAAUUCAUGGAAACUCGGCUGAGAAGCAACCCAGGAAUCAUCUCUGUGAGUGUCUGCCUGCCACUGCCAUGGAGCUGCAGCACAACUACAAGUGUUUCUUUAUGUAGUCUCCCCAUUUUAUUAUAAGAAAAAUAAAAAUAGGUAUGUUCCUUAAUUUUUUCUCA